UACGGAGGGUGCAAGCGUUAUCCGGAUUCACUGGGUUUAAAGGGUGCGUAGGUGGGCGAGUAAGUCAGUGGUGAAAUCUCCGAGCUUAACUCGGAAACUGCCAUUGAUACUAUCUGUCUUGAAUUAUCUGGAGGUGAGCGGAAUAUGUCAUGUAGCGGUGAAAUGCUUAGAUAUGACAUAGAACACCAAUUGCGAAGGCAGCUCACUACGGAUAUAUUGACACUGAGGCACGGAAAGCGUGGGGAUCAAACAGG
rnacentral:rRNA from 1 species